CGCGUGUCGAAGCGAAGAGAACAUUCGCCAUUUUGUACCCAACGUAAUUAUUUUCGCAUUCUGGACUCGGAGCCAGUGAGAUUUCGCGGAGAGCCCCGUGACUCUUUUCGUCUGCUUCUCUAGUCAGACCAAACGCGGUCGUGUUGAAAAGGUCAAUUGAAGGCAACGGUAAUGGCGUCUUUAUGUCGUUGCUCUGGAGAGCGUGACGUCAGGGUUUUGUUAACCACGUGACGUGACCGGAACUGAGCGCCCCAGUAAGCACGUGAGACAAGUUAAAUGCUUAUUCACUGACACCUGCCUGAUUUCAAAUUACAAUGCCUGAUUACAGUGUUAUUGAAAUACUCGCUUAACGUGACAUUGAACUAUUGUGAUUUUGAAUCAGACAUGGAAUAAGAGCAUUUUGCCUGGGUAUUUUAAUGUUUUAAGGGUGUUUAUGAUCGAUAAGUCACAUGCUUAUGGCGUUAAUGAUUAUUUAAUGGUUUGAUUUUAAUGUAUAGAUAUAAUCCGUAUCUGUGAAGUGUUGACCCAUUUGUAUACAAUGUCUUUCUAUGAUUUAUCAAUCAAUAAAUCAGUCAGUUUUCCUAUGAA